UACGAAGGGUGCAGGCGUUAAUCGGAAUUACUGGGCGUAAAGCGUGCGUAGGCGGUUUGUUAAGUCUGUUGUGAAAUCCCCGGGCUCAACCUGGGAAUGGCAAUGGAUACUGGCAGGCUAGAGUGUGUCAGAGGAUGGUGGAAUUCCCGGUGUAGCGGUGAAAUGCGUAGAGAUCGGGAGGAACAUCAGUGGCGAAGGCGGCCAUCUGGGACAACACUGACGCUGAGGCACGAAAGCGUGGGGAGCAAACAGG
rnacentral:rRNA from 1 species